AGGGAACAUUGGGCAAUGGGCGGAAGCCUGCCCCAGCCAUGCCGCGUGACGGAAGACGGCCUUAGGGGUUGUAAACUUCUUUACUAUGCGACUAACUAGACUUACGAGAUAAUCCUAUAGAAUGUAGCACAGCACAAAGCACCGGCUAACUCUGGGACAGCAGCCGCGGUAAUACGGAGGGUGCGAGCGUUAUUCGGAAUUACUGGGUUUAAAGGGUGCGUAGGCGGCUAAGUAAGUUGGCAUUGAAAGGCUACAGCUCAACUGUAGUAGUGGUGGCGAUACUGCUUAGCUAAGAACAUGGGAGGGGUACUUGGAAUGUGUGGUGUAGCGGUGAAAUGCGUAGAUAUCACACAGAACACCAGAGGCGAAGGCGGAGUACUAGACCAUAGUUGACGCUGAGGCACGAAAGCGUGGGGAUCAAACA
rnacentral:rRNA from 1 species